UUUACAUCAAUAUUUAUCGUCAUGUAAUUUUGCCCACGUGCAUGUCCCUUUAACCAAACAAUCAUAUCUUUUUCAAUUGUGAUAAGCGUAACUAAAAAGGAUUGAUGAUACAUGGAUACGUCUACAGUAACAUAUUAAUCGUCAGGGAAACUCGUGCAACUCUGUAUGUUUGUUCGUAAUUUUUGACACUUUUGGGACAAAUUCAGGAUUGCAGAGAAUGCCAUUUGUUUGCGAACAGUGUGGCAGAGAGGUCAAAACAAGGUCGGGGAUCUCCAAACACAAAGCCACCCACGCUCGGACAGGAAAAUAGGAGAUUAAAGUAUUUUUGGAAGCACCUUCAAGAGACGUACUGAUAUCUUGAUCAAUGAAAAGUUGUCAUAUACAAACAUGUAUAGUAAAUGUUCCAAAGUUUAAAUGACUGUUUGUUUUAUUACCAGAUGGUGCAAGUAUUGCAGGGAAAGAAAACAAUCAAAGUAAACAUUACAUAAAAAUUUGACAUUUCAACAAAUUGAACAACAUUAUAUGAUUUAAUGUUAAUUACUUGGUGCAGUGGUAACAAGAUCUUGCAGCGCCAUUUCAUGACCGAGGCGAAUGAGUAUUUUCAUUAAACACUUUUUUCAGUUACUAGUAUUCAGAUUUUCAUUUGAAUUGGAGUAAAUGAAGUAUUGAUGCAAUUCAAUAUGUUUGUUGGUAUAAUA